AUACAAUCGAAACAAGACUCCAAAAUCGCAUAAAUUCCAACCUUGACUGAUCGCACUGGCUUAACGGUGGCAAUCAUUCGGAGGCAAAUGACCUGGCCCGACAAGAAUCCCCAAGAAACCAAACAGAUUCAGAUCAGUCUCUCGACAGCUACUGAUGAUGUCGGCGAGUUGAAUCCAUCGAUUUUCACACAGAAAAUCAACAUCAAAAAAUCACGACAAUUCAGCAGCGUCAUGGUCAACCUGCCGAUCAACCAUUCACAGUGAACAACCUCUAUUCGUAGCGGAAGCGAUCUCUGCGUUGUCGACAAUGCGAUCACAAUGCGCGGACAUCAGUGUAAAUGCGAGGCAGCGGCUACUGCUGUAGACGAAGCUGACACCGCCUACAUAGAAGAGGUGAUACGAAUGCCGCUUUAUAAGGAACUUGUAGCGACAAUAUAGUACCUCCUAAAUGAUGGGAGUCGGAAAUCAUUGUUUUGUAUGUACUAUUUUAGAAUUCCCUGAGUCAACUUUGAUUCGAGAUUUCCUUAUAUAAUGAAAAUUAAUUUUUUUAUAUAGAAGGCUUAUGAUGGCAAGACAACUACAAACAACAAAUCGAAGCGGUAUUGCAACAAAUCCUGAAGUGAAGAUGAUUAUAGUCGACGACAUGCUUUCAAUCGCAUCCUUAAUAAUCAAGGUUCGCGGCGCAGCUAGUUUUUAAAUACAUUUGUAAUUAUUUUUCAAAAUUGUAUGUAAUUUAGUAUAAUUUAAUUUUGUUUUAAAUUCAACGCUAAUAAUGUAUUUGCACUUAAAAAACAAUAUCUGUCUGUUAAAAUGUAACUUCUUGUUUUUGAAUAAAUAAAAAAGAUAUUAAAUGUA